AUCGGUUUUGGACAUUGCAUGAUGAUUUUCUGGUGUGCCAUAGAGCAAUUUUACAAGAGGGAUGAAAACGAUUAUUGGGAAAUACCCAAGUUCAACCUUAAAGAGCAAAUAGACAUCAAUCUGAAAUUGAAUAUUUUUCUUUUUCAUACAUCGUACCUGUUGAGAACUAGAAAGGCAGAACUGGGCUUUGAUGGCCACAUCUUGAUAAAUCCAAACCAUGAGGUUUCUUUAAGGAUUAAGAUAGUGUCAUUCACAAACUGCUGAGCAUACAAAAAAUAACACAAGAAAGAAUCCGUAUGCUUUGAACAACUAAAAGCGCAUUUGACAGUGAUUCUAGAAAGUGUUUCUAACCUUUCUAACGCUUGAAACUUUCUAUCUUUCAAGUAUUAGAAAAACUAGAACCACUGCAAAACAUACUCAUAAUCUACAUAAAUUGUGAAAAGGAAUAGGAAUAAUAAUAAUAAUAAUCCAAGGGGGCCAAGAGAUUCCGACCCAACAGGAUCAUGACCAACUACCAAGUUCCAUCAGCUUCUGAAGCUUUCCUUGUAAGGAGUUCUGAAAACAAUGGAAAAAAGCAAGCUAUUGCCUUUUGAAUGAUUUUAGAUUGUAGAAGCUUUAAGCACAAAUUGUUAACAAAAGAGCAUGCAGCAGAAGAACCUGAUAACAUCUCCUAUGCUACAUCAAAAUAACUACUGGGAGCCAAGUAAGCCUGUGAUUCCACAACUUAAAGCCAUCAUAAUAGUAAAACUUUGUUACAGGCAACAAGAAGUAGAACAAGAAUCAAGACAAUAUUUAGUGGUGUAAGGAUAAUCCCUCAGGAGCUCAAAUGUAACAAAAAUCUGAAAUGCCAAUGAUGCUGCAAAAUUAAAGAAAGCUCAAAGAGAAAUAAUACUGUGACAUGGUCUCUGUGGAUCUUGGUUUCCGUUAGUUGUCCAUGACAAUAAUAGAAUGCCAUACUGCAAAAGCAAAACAACCUUGGAGUGUUGAUUCAGUAUAUGUUUUAAUAGAUAAAUAAAGAUCAAGGAGCUACUUAUACAAGUGUCAAGGGGUUGAAAUUCGGAAAUGUUUUAAUAGGAUUAAUGUUAUUUAUGAAAACAUGAAAGAGUACAAGGGACACAAGAAAAUUUUGUCACUAUCCGUAUUCAUGAUUAUAAUCAACUCUAGAUUAUAACAAUGAAAAGUUAAUAGGAUUACACGGUUAAGAAGUUCUCCUUUAGGCUUCUUUCAAAGCUCUAGGGGUUGAGACAAGGGGAUCCCUUGUCUCCCUACUUAUUCGCGAUAGCAAUGGAGGCCCUCAGUAGUCUUCUCUUGAGAGCUAGGGAAGGAGGUUUUAUCUCAAGGUUCAAGGUGAAGGGAAGAGGGGGUGAGGGGAAGGAAGUUUCUCAUCUCCCCUUUGCUAACGACACAAUUGCUUUUGCAAGGCUUCUUAGGAUCAAGUCAAUAAUUGAUGUUGGGAUCUCAUGUAGUUCGAGGCUAUUUCAAGGCUGAUAAUUAAUCUUUAUAAGAGUGAGUUGAUCCCAGUUAGGCGGGUGGAAAAUAUGGAGGAGUUGGCUUCUGAGCUCGGUUGCAAGGUAGGGGAGCUACUGACUUCUUACUUGGGCUCUCUUUGGGGGCUCCUUGCAGAUCAAAGGCGGGUUGGAAUGGGGUUGAAGAGUGGUUUCAAAAAAGGGCUUCAAUGUGGAAGAGCCAAUACAUCUCUAAAGGGGGGAGGCUUAUAAUGAUUCAUAACACAUUAUCCAACUUGCUUAUUUAUUUUAUGUCUUUGUCCAUCUUGAAAAAUGUCAGGUUAAGGCUAGAGAAAAUCCCUAAGGAUUUUCUUUGAGGUGGAGAGGUCCUAAAGAAAAACCCACACUUGGUGAAGUGGUCGGCUAUUUGUGAGGCCAAGUCAAAAGGGGGUUUGGGUGUCAAAUCUCUCUCUUUGCUAAACAAAACCCUUCUUUGCAAAUGGCUUUGCCAUUUUACUUGUUAAAGGGAAUUGCUUUGGAAGAAGGUUAUUGUUGGCAAAUAUAGGGAGGAUGAAGGGAGGUGUUCUUGUGAGGUAAGAGACUGUUAUGAGGUAGGCUUUUGGUCUCUUUUUCUAUGGCCAAUGGGAGAAGAGCAAAAUUCUGGAAGAACAGGUGGUGUGGUGAGGAGCCUCUAGUGUUGCCUGUCCAUCCUUGUUUGCCUUAGUCAAGUUGAAAGAGACGAGGGCAAGAAAUUUAUGGGGGCAAGAAAUUUAUGGGAGUAGAGUGAGGAAGGAGGACAAUGGAAUUUCUAUUUCACAAGGAAUUUAAAUGAUUGGGAGUUAGAUCUCAUGGAGUUUUUUUUUGUUUAGACCCCAAGGAAAGUCAGUGCACAAAGACAUGGAUGAUCAAGUAGUAUGAAAGAUCAUUAAGAAUGAUAUCUUUUCUGUGAGAUUUCUUUAUUCUGCUCUUGAGCUAGAUCGUGCCUUUCCUUUUCCAUUAGCAAUUAUCAGGAACCUCUGGAGUCUAGGGUGAGCUUUUUCCUUAGGAGGCAUGUUGGGAUAAGGUGUUGAAGUUGGACCGGCUUCAAAGAAGAGGUUAGUUUAGUCAACAUGUAUACUCUUUGCAAAGACGAGGCAAAAUGCAUUGACCACACUCUUUGUGGCAGUUAUUCUUUCUAUUGUUUGGUAUUUUCUAGGUCAUUUUUGCCUCUAUCAAGGAGAUCUCCUAAAAUGGCAUGGCUCUUUCAUGGGAAGAAGGUGAAAGAAGGCAUGGACAGCAGCCAUACCGUUAUGCAUUCUCUAGACUAUUUGGGAGGAAAGAAAACGAGGAUCAUUUGAAAAUGAGUUGUAUGAUCAACGUCUAAAUAACAUCUUCCUCAAUAAUAUCUAUUAGUGGUUCAAGGCUUACGUAGAUGAAGGUGCUAGGUCUUUAUUGGAUUUUAUUGAUUGGCUGGGGUUUUGUUGAGGGAGGGAGUAGAUUUUUUGUCUUCCCCUUUUUUGCUUGCCCUGUUGUAUACGUCCCAUGUACUCUCGUUUACCUUUUCUUUCGGCGCUUUUAAUAUAUUCUCUUCUUUGCCUAUAUAAAAAAGAGAAGACAAAGAAAACAAGGCCAAGGAAGCUCUAUACAAUAGAAAACAGAAAUUAUCAACAUUAGUAAAUUGGAAAUGUAGCUGUAAGUACAGGGCCAACACAUGAAGCUGUAAAUUCUAUAAUACCACCAACAAUCACAACGAGAACCAUCCAUACCAACACAUAAAAUUGCAACCAGCAGCCAUGACUUAAAAUAGACAACUUUAGGUUAUCAAGGACUCCAAGCAUCAUACAACCAAAUUCCAAGUCUAACCAUUCCCUGCCUUUUGCCACUCUUCCUCGUGAUCUUUUGCUACCCACAAGCUUGAAAUGCUUCUUCUCUAAAUAAAUACCAUUUUAAGGGUAACAGGAUCAUUUCCUGACCUGAAAACACUUGGCAGUAGUCCUGCAAGCAAAUGUACAUAGUUCACUAAUGAACAUCUGAGAAGUAUACUAACAAAUCUGAUUCUGAUUCUGUUUUUGUUUUUUCCUUUGCUUUUUUUGCCUGUUUGGGAUAAUUAACAUUUUUCCCCAGUGAAAUAAAAAAUAUCCCAAAAUCUUAAGGAAUAGAGAAUGAAUAGAAAAUCCUCUUAUUUUCAUUUCAUCUAUUUGAUAAAUAGAAAGACCUAUACAUGUACCCUAGGCCUAUUGAGUAACCAAAUUAAUCAAACUGUCAAUCCUGUUUGCAUUCACUUUUUUGUUCUUUUUUUUUUUUUUUUUUGAUAGGUGUUGACCUUUUUUUCUUACUCAAAUUAAUGUUCAUUAAUUAAUCUUUUCCUUCUAAACAAAUUCACACACACAUAUAUAUAGGUGUGCGUCAGUGUAUGAGUUUUUACAUUGGUAUAAUAAAAUGGCAUAAAAGAAAGCUGAAGUAGUCCCACAUAACUGUAACUAGUAGAUAUUGAAUGGCAUCUUACAGAAAAAAAUGGUAACAGAGAGAGAAGAACAAGGAAAUCAUCUUUAUCUGUGCCAUUUCAUUGCCAAACCUUAUUCUAGAUCAAUUGAAACAUUUUUAACUCAAAAAGGGUGUGUUUUGGAAGGCAGGAAUGGAAAUGAUAUUAACAUGGGAAUGAAGUUGAAUCAUAACACCAUUUGGAAAAAAGGAAUCAAAAUCCUGGCAAGAGUAGGUUUUGGUUUCUGUGAUAAUAAAUUUUUUAUUCCCACUCCUACGUCUAAAAAGCAAUCCAAACACAAUGACCAAUGAGAAAUGGAAUGGAUUUUCAUUCUCAUUCUCUUUUCCAAUGAACCAAAAAUGUCCUAAGAGGAAAGGUUCAAAUGAAGAAGAUAAGCAUUCAUGGAAAAAGCUUCUUGAGAAAUAUGGACAUUCAAUAGCAAAGCAGUGGAGCUGAGACACGAGUUGAGAACUAGAUUUCUCAGCAACUAUACAGAGAUUAAUUUAUAAAAAAUAAAAUAAGACAAAAUAAAAAUGAAAAAAAAAAAAAAAACCUAAAAUAACCAGAAUCUGAACAGAAAAAAUCCUGUCAUUGAUAUUCUUUACUGAGGUGUUGUUUCUAGGAACCUGAAACAGACUUACUCAAAUUACCUUAAAAUCUGAAAUAGAGAAGUUCAACAACUAAAGGUUUCUUUCAAAGUCAACUCAGGGCUUCAAAACAGAGAAGUCGAUUCCAGCUUUGAUCUCCAAACAAAGCAUGUUCCACGGACUUUAGGAACAAAAUAAGAGAAGGAAACAGCUAGAUGACAGGAGACAAUGAGAAUGUCCAGUCUGCAAAGAUUCUCUGGAAGAAAAUGGAGAGCAGCAAUAAUGAGAAAUGGGAUCUAGGGCUCACAAGAGUGGGAUGGGUGUUGGCAACAGAAAUCCAGGGUUCACUAGAAAGGGAUGGAUUUUCGCAACAGAAAUCUAGGCUUUGCAAGAAAGGGAUGGGUUUUUUGCUGGUGGCUAAGACCUUCAUGGAAUGAUCUUACUCACAAUGCUCAAAACAGUGUCUGGACAGCUAGACAUUUCUCAGGUUACAAAGAAUUGCCAAGUUUGUACUCACAUAGACAGUGUUCCCUUUUUACCCCUUCAUAUGGCAUACCCUUGCUUCUCAUGAAAUUUAUCCAGUGAGUCAAAAGUUGGUCUAAUACAGUGUUCACUUAUUGUACAUCAUAAAAAGUAGUACUCUGUGGCAUGCAUCCAUUGAACACCACAAUAUUGCAGCAUGAAAAAACACUUUUCUUGUAGUGUAUGCAACACAACUAAAUUUCUUUACAUUCAUUUUUUUUAAAAAUAAGGAUGGGUCAAAAGCAAUAAGAUUCAAAAACUGACAGGAAAUUGACAAUAGAUUCAGAAUCCACUGAAAUGAACAAUCUCCACUCUGCAAGGCAAUGUAAAUAUAUACACCUAUAACACAUCAUUUUAGAGAACUCAAUGGUAACUGAUAAAGUUAUAUUGCAAGAAAUAAAACAGACAUGUCUUGAAAAGCUAAUAAGUACAGCUGAAGAAGAAAAUGUCAUAGUGUACCCAAACGGGGGGGUCCAACACCCGGCCAACAACAGAAGCAUCAAAUCUGGGCAUGCAUCACUGGUUACAGGUAACAGGCAGUGCAAUAAUUAACUAAAGGUUAUAAGCAUUUUCACUUUGUUUACUAAACAUUCAUCUACAGAUCAGAUAUUUCUUAGAGCAUCAGCAGAACUUAAGGAGAUAAAAAUAGGGAACUAUAUGAUUACAACAGUAUAAGAAAGUGAAGCUGGCAAACCAAUGAAGGAGGUUUUUGCAUGUUCAAUCACCAUCCCCAGGGAAGCAUGCUCAUAAAGUCUCUCCACUUCAUCCACUAGUCAGGUAAACAAGAAUAUACUCAGGCAGCUCAUCAGGCCAGAAGAUGGGUGCUCUUUUGCUAAGGACAUACAAAUGAAUC
rnacentral:lncRNA from 1 species